UCAAGUGAAUAGUGAAACCUGGUGGCUCAACCAUACAGACUAUUAUUCAAACUGACUUACUCGAGAGUGGUAGAGGUAACUGGAAUUUCUUGUGUAGGAGUGAAAUCCGUAGAUAUAAGAAGGAACACCGAUGGCGUAGGCAGGUUACUGGGCCAUUUCUGACGCUAAGGCACGAAAGCGUGGGGAGCGAACCGGAUUAGAUACCCGGGUAGUCCACGCCGUAAACGAUGGAUACUA
rnacentral:rRNA from 1 species